CUUGACACCCACGUGGCCGAUGCCCACAGCCAGCACGCUCUUGCGUUUGGAUUUCUGACAGGCCUCAGCGAUGGACAUGUCCACUCGGAGCAGUGGGCCCUGGCCUUCUCCUUCAGCCACCACAGUGGGCCACCAAGGUUUCCCACAUGGACUGAAAACAAGCAGCUCUCCAGUAAUCAUCCAGAACUCCUGAGCCAGAUUGGGACUACAGCGACAUCCAAACUCACACAUUGAACAACUACCAGGUUCUCCACUUUUCCAUCAUGAGACAACCAUUAUUGGACUACCUGGACCACAGCCAGUGCCUUGUGCUUCGUAGGAAAAACAGAAAAGCAAGAUUAUCUUCUCUUUGCAUGACCUGAUGAGACAUGGCACACUCUUUGAAGGACUGUCAGGUGGGCAGCAGUGACAUGAUCAUGCCACCUGGUGAGUUCAGCUCGGCUACAUUUGGACAGAACAAGAAAGCUCAGGCCAGUGUCAUGGACUGAACCAUUAAAAAGACCCGUAAUUGUUCAGUCAAGGCCCAAACAGACAUAAAAACUCUUGCACUGUGGAGAACAGGGAAGGGAGUUUUAGAGUCCCUGGCCGGGAAAUGCCCUGGCUUCAUCCUCAUAUGCCUGAUAUGUUCUCAGUAAGCACAGACAUUGCCCACUGGGCAGCCCAGGGACAAUACAGCGCAGUGGUGGGCACAGAUCCACCUAGAUGGGAUGCUCUAGGACAUUUUCCUCACCUUCAGCACCGUGGACACAGCAUUACCUUUUGGGUUCCCAGGACAAACCUGAAACUCCUGAGAUACUAAUGGGAAUCACUGCACGCAUAUUAGGGAUCAGCUGCCGCUCAGGGGAUGCCUCUCUUGCAAAAACAGAUGCCACCAGAGCAAGUUUAAGCAGUGUGUCCCUCAGCUGUCAGGUUAGCAAGAAGGUCUGCAGAGCCCUGCUGGGCUGGAGACCCAGGGAUCAGCCAUGGCCAAAGCCUCGUGGUCAGCCAUACCUAGAAAAGCCAUGCUCAGCCUUUCCCUAAAGGCUCACUGCUUCCCUUAUCAGCAGACCAAUCCUGAUUUCGGGAGCAUCUCUGCUUGCUCACCUGGCCACACUCAUCUUAGACCCUAUUGCUGCAGAAAGAGGAGGCAGUGGGAGCCUCUUUACAUAUGAUGGGUUGAAAAAAAAUCUAUUUCCUCUCUGCCACUGGUGGAAAGAAGAAACCCAAAUUCGGUCCUGGGCUGCUGUGACACUACCCGUGUGGCCCAGGGAGUGUGCCCCAAGGUAAGCCAACAGCUGCACAAGGCUCCCCCGAUAAAAGCAAAACCCCAUCUGUGGACAGGCAGCAGGUGUCGUAAAAGCCGCUGUUAAAAAUACACACAGGAGGUGUGUGAGAUGGCUCAUUGGAUCGAAGUACUGGCUGUGCAAGCCUGAUGAGACAAAUUAAAUCUCAAAAACCCAUGUCAAAGUGAAAUGAGAGAGAACAGACUCCUUAAAUUUAUCCUCUGACCUCCACACGUUCACUAUGGCGCGCGCAUGCGCACACACACACACACACACACACACACACACACACACAUACACACACACACACCUAAAACACACACACACACACACUACUACUACUACUACUACUACUACUACUGACUACUAUUACUACUAAUUUAAAAACCUAGAUGAUCAGGCUAAUAUUAGAGAUGUGGGAACAACCAGAAAAGACUGGAUUAAAAAUAAACCAAGGAAAAAGCAAUCACUAAUGAAAUAAAAGGGCAAAGGAGGAAUAAAGCAGAAACUACACUAUGAGACCAGGGGUGAGCAGAAGGGGAAAGGCAGAGAUGUGUGGAGACCUACACAGAAUUUCUAGAAAUAGAAAACUGAGCAGCAUGUGUUGGCAUAACCCUGCAGUCUUGGGACUUAGGAGGUGGAGGCAGGAGGAUCAAGAGCUGGAGGCCAGCCUGGGCUACAUGAGGCCCCCAACUCAAAGAAAAGAAUGGGGGGGUAUGGCAAGUGAGUAAAUCACUUGGGGUGCUUUAUACAACAGACAAGACAUGACUGAGGAGAGAGCUGUCUUACCAUCAACACAGCCAAUGUGUUUACUCAGGAUCAGGAAAAAAGAAAAGACAAAGACAGGUAGAUGGGGAAGAAGAAAGGGGAGCAAGAAUAGCCAAUGGUCCAGCUACAAGUUUCAGGAGAAAAUCGGAGUGAGCAAGGCAACGUUCUAGAAUGUUCUAGAACAUUCUACGCCAUGGUGACAGCAAUCCAACAUGAAGGCAAAUGGCAGCUGUGAAGAGAUGACUUCGGGUGAUGCUGCUUGGGCUCCUGGAUCUGGCUGGACCCGAAGGCAUGAGUGCCUGCCCACAGGCUACUCCUCCAUUCUGUGGAGGUCAGUGGAGGCUGAGUCUCUGCUGUUUGGAGCAGAGAGCCCAGAGCUGAGUUCUGUAGAGCAAGAGGACCGCACUUGCCUCCUCUACCCACCCCCAACCCAUUUUAAAGCACGAGGACCAUUUUAUUAGAGCCUGACAGAAAAAUACAGGGCAAGCAAGUUGUAAAACUUGGCGGCUGCCAGAAAGAGGGAGGAAAAAAAAAGGGAAAGAGAGAAAAACCGCUUAUCUUUUGAGUUCGCGUCAACCCUGGAAGUCUGCAAGCAGCUAUCUGUGGGGUGUGGGAUUUCAGGAAAAGAAGAAAAAGCUCAGAGUGUGAGGGCUGGGCAUACUUCAGAUUUUGUCAAAAGAUGAGGAAAAAAAGGGUCAAGAGGAAGAGUUCUGCUUUAGAGUUUGAGUCUGCGCUAACUCGAAAUCUCACGACGGUGUAGGACAAUUAUCCUGCCACUCAGCAGCGGUGAGCUCAGCUUCCCACCAGCAGCUUCGCGUUUAUCUUAUUCAUCUGUGCUCAAAGGCAUUUCUGGCUUGGGAACCUGAGUUCUUGUGUGAAGCCAGAAAUGCCAAGGAGGUAACACCCACCGGGGGGGGGGGGGGGGGGGGGACAGUCCUGGAUGAACAAUGGAUGGGUGUUGUUAUCCUGAGCCCGGCUCUCUUGGCCUUUGAAGGGGGGGUACGUCCCUGGCCUUUUUCUGCAUGGUCUCUCCAGUGGCCGUGGAGGGUGAACUUAGCUUCAUCAGUGGCCGAGUGGGUGACAUAGCCUUACUGCCUUGCACACUGUCCGCUUUGCCGGCUGAGGGGCCUUCAUUGUCCUUGUGAGCCAGGAAUCAUUGCUUCAGCCUCAGCUUGUGGGGAAACUGACGUGGACUGCAUGCGGCUCUACGCCUUUGAGUUCUACACUUGGAGCUCCAUCUGAGUCACCUAAUAAGCCCCCUUCUCAUGCUUAUACCACCCACCAGAAUCCCAGGAAGUUAAUAUAAACCAAGCCCUGCUUGAAGGACAAACGGCUGGAUUGAAAUUCCAUCAGCUCUGCCUUGGGAGUGAGAUCUGGUCCUUCUAUCGUCUCGUUACCGCAAGGUUGGAAACUUCACUGGGGAAUCCAACACACAUCUCUCCCAAGAUGGCAAAUGCCAAGUGACUUCAAAUGACACAUGGCCACCGGUGAUUUAGACCCUGCUUCUUUAAAGAGUCAUGCCUGCAAAUUGAAGAUGCUCUAUCUACGAGUCUCCUGCAUCGGGGCUGGGCAUCCAAUUAUUGCUGGUUGAUGAAGACAGAUGGGUCAUGUUGGAUGUAGGUGGUAGCUUUUUAACCUAUAUCCUAGAGGCUACAGUGCCUGUCCAUUCUAAUCCACGGCCCAUUCUUAGCAAGGAGCGUCCAGAUUUUGACUUUUUCCUCUGUUCCUUUAACUCAUUUUUUUCUCUUGUCUUGCAUGUAUGAAGGUUAGAAGUUGACAUGAUGUGUCUUAACGGCUCUCCACCUUAGAUUUUGAUACAGGGUCUCACUAAGCCCGAAGCUUGCUGAUUCAGCUAGGUCCACUGGCCAGCAAGCCCCAUGGGAUCCUAUUGUCCCCCACCUCUGCACAGCUGGGGUGACAAGCGUGUAUCACCGUCUUUAUCUGUGUCACAUGGUGCAGUUGUUUGUGGGGCAGAGAUGGCCUCUUGGGCUACCUAGCCAGCGGAUGGUGGAGUUACAGUCUCCUUUAAAGUCACCAGCUCAUGCUGCUGGUGGGGGAAGAGGGUGUGAGAGCCUGGGGAAGACUGUGUUGUGGGUGAGAGAGGUGGAGAAGUCGAGGAAGAAGGAACUGAUAGCCAUGAGCGCCUGAGGGAGGUACCCAGACAAUUACAAUAACGGCCCAAGAGAUGGAGACCUCAGUCAUCCACAGCAAGAAUCUUUCUCCCAAGCAGCAAUGACCCUGGACGUAGGUCCAGAUCCUUGGAUGAGAAGUCAGCAUUGUGACACCUUGAAUGCAGGGCCCAGCUGAGCUUCCACGGCACUGGGAGAGUGUGGCAGUAGGCUGUUAAGCAGUCAUGAUGGUUACAUGGCAGUAGCCAGCUGAUACACCCAUGCGUGCAGCGUACCAUCCCAGGGUCGUCCUUGGAGCCCACAGCAGGGAUGAUGUGGUCACGUGGAUUUCACAUAGCCUGUGUCGCCUGUCUGGACCACUAACUCAGCCGUAGAGACAGAAGAAUAGGCAGCUUGUGUCUGCCAGUGAUGCAACCCUGCAUGGCAUCUGGGAUUUUCUGGUCUUCCCUAGGAGCACCAAACCUUCCUGGCUUUGCGCUGCCCGCCCACUGAUGGUCACUGUGUUCUGUCUUAGUAGUAUGUCUGCUCCCACAGACAGUUUUGUUCCUAUUAUGUUAUGUGAAGAACUGUAGCCUCCACAGCUUCCUAUUCAGGUCUAGAUCUUGUCGCCUGUCCCAGCCAUGGCAGGCCAAGCUCCUAGCAUAUCCUGUCCGCAGUGGUGGUUAACAGGAGCUUCCCUGCAGCCUGCCACCUUCUCCCAGCUGUGCGGCACCCAUGGGAACCAGCUUUAAAGCCAAAUGCCCGAGCCAACAUGGGGCCUGCCCUGGUGGAGUCCCGAGGUCCUCACGGCUUCUGCUCUUAACAGUGAUGGAUAGUGACUGUCACUCAUGGGGGGAACGGUGACAGAGACAUUUUUUUUUGUAUCACGCAAUAGUUGAUUCUAAUUUAAUUCUCAAAUGUGAAAUGAAGUGGGUCCCUCUACGGAAUGAGGUCCUGCGGCUACCCAGGUCGAGUCCUCCCAGAGCUCUGCCUCCAGAAUCAUCUUCAGUGCAGAAGUACGUGGGACUCCACGUUCCCUCCCCCUUCCUACGAGCUCCCAGGCUCCCCUUUCUUGCAAUGGUAUUUGCUGCGAGCCGACCAUGCACAGCGAAGGAUCAGUUCUACAAAGCACCGCCCGCAUGGAAAGUUAUCCCGCAGCCCCCUUCCCAUAAGGUCAAGAGCAAAUAGGAGCGGAGCACACGUUAACAGCAACUUCAGCGAUGUAGUGACUACAUAAUGGCAGUGGCGGAGGAGGCCGAGAUCGACAAGGCUGUGAGGACGGCAUUAGUGAGCAGAGGGGGGGGGUGGGGGUUGAAACUGUGGCUGGAAAGGAGCCAGGGCAGUGUUCAAGGGUGAGUGCGCCCAUGGGAACACAUCUCAGACCAGAAAGACUGCAAGGGUAGAAGCCCAGAAGGGCUUUGUAGAAAGGGGGCAUGUGAAGCCCAUGGGAGCCUGAGAGAGAUGGAGCCAGGGAGUUGGGGACAGAGAGCAGGCUGGGCUGCCCCUGCUGGGGUAUGAGGGCCCUGGAAGGAAUGGGGACCUGAGAGGGAGCAGUUGAUGUGGUCUGCACAGUGCCUCCUCAGCCCAGGAGAGGACAUUGAGAGGGGAGU